rnacentral:rRNA from 1 species
GUAUUUUGACCGUGCAAAGGUAGCGCAAUCACUUGUCUUUUAAAUUGAAGACCUGUAUGAAUGGUGGAACGAGGGCUUAACUGUCUCCCCCUUCUAGUCAAUGAAAUUGAUCUACCCGUGCAGAAGCGGGUAUAAUAAUACAAGACGAGAAGACCCUUUGGAGCUUAAGACAAAAGACCAACUAUGUCAAAAGUCUUAAAAAAGACUAAACCAAAUAGUAUUGGUCCUAAUCUUCGGUUGGGGUGACCACGGGAGAAAACAAAGCUCCCAUGCGGAUUGGGACAUUCCCUAAAACUAAGAGAGACAUCUCUAAGACACAGAACAUCUGACCAUAAAGAUCCGGCUACAUGCCGACCAACGGACCAAGUUACCCUAGGGAUAACAGCGCAAUCCCCUUCCAGAGUCCAUAUCGACAAGGGGGUUUACGACCUCGAUUUUGGAUCAGGACAUCCU